UUGGUUAGAAAACGGAGUCGAAAUUUAAUAGAAAAUGUUCUUGUCGGAAUUUUCAUUUAUAAAUUCGUAGCACAGCCAGAGACGAAGCGGGAAAGUGAAAAGUUAAGAGGACAAGGCACUGCCCAACUAUUUGCAGCAAUGGCAGCAACAUUCCAAGAAGUUUUGGCCCACAACGAACCGGGAAGAUCUCAGCAGCCAACCCAAGCGUCGUUGUCGCCAUUUAAGUGGAAAACUAUACGUAGAGAGUACUCUGGCGAAUGCCCUCAUCAAAGUCAAUUUAAUUAAUGAACGCACUCAGCGCUGACCCGACAGGGUUAAGGAAAAUCAAUACUCGAAAAUGCCACGCAUGCUGCCCAGCUCAUCUUGUCGAGCCAUGACGACAUCAAUUAGAACACAUCAUCUUGAACGCCUCCAAAAGUGCCAACAUAGGAGGUACAGUACACACACACAGACGAAGCCCGUGUGGCUAUAAGAAAAGGCGUGGUUGUGUACCUUCCCACACACACACACACGCACAAACAAAGGAAACUGGUUUUCGUUGUUGGUAUGCGAAAACUCACCCCCGAAAUAUAUGUAAAGAUGAAGCUGUUUCGCUUGCCCGUUAGCCCGCCUGUUUCUAAUAAGAAACUGACGCCAUUUUGAAUUUGUGAGCAACCCCUGCUUAGGAGCGGAAGGAAUAUCAAGCAGAGGCAAGCAUGUUUCUUAUUUAUGACAUUUUUAUGCUAAUGGAAUUUACGUGUGUAUCUCUGAGUAUGAGUGUGUGCCUGUGAGUGUGUGUGGGGGUAUCAUGCAUGUAUGCAAACGCAUCCUGGGGGAUUUAGGCAUAAAGACGACACGCAUCUGAUAAGAAAAUACUGCGGGCACUUCGUUUAGUCCGUAU